AACGUAGGAGGCGAGCGUUAUCCGGAUUUACUGGGUGUAAAGCGCGUGCAGGCGGCGUGGCAAGUGGUGCGUGAAAGCGCCCGGCUCAACCGGGCGAGGACGUGCCGAACUGCCAGGCUAGAGGCAGGGAGAGGCGUGUGGAAUUCCGGGUGGAGUGGUGAAAUGCGUAGAGAUCCGGAGGAACACCAGUGGCGAAGGCGACACGCUGGACCUGGCCUGACGCUCAGACGCGAAAGCAUGGGGAGCGAACGGG
rnacentral:rRNA from 1 species